rnacentral:rRNA from 1 species
UGGGGAAUUUUGCACAAUGGGCGCAAGCCUGAUGCAGCGACGCCGCGUGAGGGAUGAAGGCCUUCGGGUUGUAAACCUUUUUCGCUCAUGGUCAAGCCGCAGCUUUGGGUUGUGGUGAGGGUAGUGGGUAAAGAAGCGCCGGCUAACUACGUGCCAGCAGCCGCGGUAAUACGUAUGGAGCAAGCGUUAUCCGGAUUCAUUGGGCGUAAAGCGCUCGUAGGCGGUCUGUUAGGUCGGCAAGUUAAAUCCGGGGGCUCAACCCCCGUCCGCUUCCGAUACCGGCAGACUUGAGUUUGGUAGGGGAAGGUGGAAUUCCUAGUGUAGCGGUGGAAUGCGCAGAUAUUAGGAAGAACACCGGUGGCGAAGGCGGCCUUCUGGGCCAUAACUGACGCUGAGGAGCGAAAGCUAGGGGAGCGAACAG